CACAGCCUACCAAGUUAAGUUUAAACAGAAUUCUGGAAAAUAUACACUUGGAAAGCACUACAGGGGGUGUCCUUUUGGAUGAGCUAUGAUUGUACAGAUUCAGGUGUGUGCUGACAAGAAGGUAAGUUAAGAAGCAACACUCAGGCACCUGUCUCAACAUGUUGCUGAGAGUGAGAAGUGUGUCACCCCUUUUACCUAACGAUCCAAAGAGUUGUGUAAAUAAGCACCUCACCCAUCUCAGUACUUCCCAAGCCACAGGACGGAGUGUGGGAGCGAAGCCCCUUCAUCAAAGCACCAGAAAGAUGUCAGCAGAAAAACAAACAGGACAGAAAAAUGAAGCCCAGAGGAACACCAGGGCCUGUGUGGAGUCUGUGGUAUUGAUGGCAGUUUUAAAGCAUGGCCACAGCUUCUUUGGCACUCCUAUUGAAAGGCAAAGCCCAUGUCCCCUGUCCUUGUAUCUGGGUGAGCCUGUGUCUACCUCAACCAACAGAGUAGGGUGAAAAUGAUGCAAAAACUUUCAAGACUGGGUUGUAGAUGGCUGUAAGAGUCCCACAUGGUUCACUGGAACACUGGGUAAGGAGUCCAACCAUCCUGAGGCCACUACGGUGGAGAGACCACACGUAGAGAGAGAAAGAGAAAGAGAAAUGACUCAUGAGCCCCCUGCCCCCAACUCAAAUAAUGCCAACCCUGGUGGUAGACCUCUGAGUGAAGAAACUUCCAGAAGAUUCCACCUCCCAGCCUUCAGUCUUCCAGUUGAUGCCCCAAAUACCACAGAGCAGAG
rnacentral:lncRNA from 1 species